AGAGGGAGCCCGAGAAACGGCUACCACUUCCAAGGAAGGCAGCAGGCGCGCAACUUACCCUAAUCUCGAUUCGAGGAGGUAGUGACAAGAAAUACCGAUGCGGGACCCUACGGGUGCCGCGUUCGGAAUGAGUACGAUUCGAACCACCUAACGAGGAACGAUCGGAGGGCAAGUCUGGUGCCAGCAGCCGCGGUAAUUCCAGCUCCAAUAGCGUACGUUAAAGUUGCUGCAGUUAAAAAGCUCGUAGUUGAACGUUCGGGUUCCGCGGGACGGGGCCGCCCCGCGAGGGACGGCGCCGCCCCGGGGCUCGUGAUAUCUUAUCUCGCCGCCCGUCGCGAGGCGGACGGAGGGAUGGAUGAGGUUACCUGGAAAAAAUCGGGGCGAUCUAGGCGGGCGAACCUCGCCAACGAACGAUCGGACAUGGGAU
rnacentral:rRNA from 1 species